UACGUAGGGGGCUAGCGUUGUCCGGAUUUAUUGGGCGUAAAGAGCGUGUAGGCGGCCAGGUAGGUCUGCUGUGAAAACUCGAGGCUCAACCUCGAGACGUCGGCGGAAACCAUCUGGCUAGAGUCCGGAAGAGGAGAGUGGAAUUCCCGGUGUAGUAGUGAAAUGCGUAGAUAUCAGGAGGAACACCCGUGGCGAAGGCGGCUUUCUAGGAUAUACCUGACACUGAGAAGCGACAGCUAGGGGGAGCAAACAGG
rnacentral:rRNA from 1 species